rnacentral:tRNA from 1 species
GGUCCUGUAGCUUAGUGGUAAAAGCAAGAUGCUCAUAACAUCGAGAUCGUGGGUUCAAAUCCCUCCGGGACCA